CCAGAUUUUUGGGAGGAUGGAAAAAAUCUGGGGAUCAGCGAUUGUGCUGCUUCUUGUUUUGAUCUUCCAGGGCAGAGCUAAAAUCCAGCAGCCGAUCUCAGCAGAAGCUCUGGAGGGAGCCAAACUGAACCUCACCUGCUCUCACCCCUCAGCCAGCAGUGAUAAUAUAUUCUGGUACGAGCAGUUUCUGAACCGAGGACCUGAAUUAAUAGUGACUGGAUUCAGUGAAACCGCUCACAGCCCUGAGCCAGAGGGAACCUUGCACAUCUCCAAUGAUAAAGAAAACAGCACCUUCGCCCUGCGCGGGGUGUGGCUGGCAGAUGUAGCGGUGUAUUACUGUGCUCAGAGAGACAGUGGGACAGCCAGGGACAGCCUCCAUACAAUAGGCCCCAUCUACACUGACUCUGAGAACUCUGCGGUCCAGCCUUGA